ACGCUCGACACCUACGGGAGCAGCAGUGGGGAAUAUUGCACAAUGGGGGAAACCCUGAUGCAGCGACGCCGCGUGGAGGAAGAAGGUCUUCGGAUUGUAAACUCCUGUUGUUGGGGAAAAAGAGGAUGGUACCCAACAAGGAAGUGACGGCUAACUACGUGCUAGCAGCCGCGGUAAUCUGAGCGGGCGUGGCAAGGC
rnacentral:rRNA from 1 species